rnacentral:rRNA from 1 species
CCUACGGGUGGCAGCAGUGGGGGAUAUUGCACAAUGGGGGGAACCCUGAUGCAGCGACGCCGCGUGGGUGAAGAAGCGCCUCGGCGCGUAAAGCCCUGUCAGCAGGGAAGAAAAUGACGGUACCUGAAGAAGAAGCCCCGGCUAACUACGUGCCAGCAGCCGCGGUAAUACGUAGGGGGCAAGCGUUAUCCGGAUUCAUUGGGUUUAAAGGGUGCGUAGGUUGUUUUAUAAGUUAGCGGUGAAAUACCGAUGCUCAACAUCGGGGCUGCCGCUAAUACUGUAGGACUAGAGAUCGGAUGCAGCAGGCGGAAUGUGUAGUGUAGCGGUGAAAUGCAUAGAUAUUACACAGAACACCGAUUGCGAAGGCAGCUUGCUAGGCCGGAUCUGACACUGAUGCACGAAAGCGUGGGGAUCGAACAGGAUUAGAUACCCUAGUAGUC